GCUUGUGCCCUGCAGAAGCUUUGUUCCUUCCCCCUUUGCAAUGAAUUUUCCUGCUGCUGGCUUUUUAGGUCUGCACUACCUUUAUGAGCUGUAACACUCAUUCUGCAGUUUCACUCCUGAAGCCAGCGAGACCAUGAAGCAACCCCAAGGAAAACAACUCCAGACAUGCCACCUUUAAGAGCUGUAACAGUCAUUGCCAAGGUCUGCAGCUUCACCCCUGGAGUCAUUAAGAUCGUGAACCCAUCAGAAUGAAGAAACUCCGGACACAUCUGAAAAUCUUAAGGAACAAACUAUGGACACACCAUCUGUAAGAACUGUAACACUCACCAGGUGGGUCCAUGUUUUCAUUUUUGAAGUCAGCGAGACCAAGAACCCACCAGAAGAAACCGAUUCUAGACGCAGUACUGUUCUAGGAUCAAGAAUUGAAGAGCUAUACCGCAUGGGGGAAAGAUCUCUGGAGAACAUUUUCUGAUGGAGACCAGGAAAGGAGUGAAACAAGAUUUACUCACGAGAGAAGCGGGCCAGUGGUCUGGCAUUCUUGUCUCCAGCUUCAUUUGCAACUAGAAAAAAAAAAGAGGAUGCAAUUUAAAUAAAUAAAGCAAUGUGUCCACCAAAUAUGCCCCAAUACAGCCAAUCCCCUGGAUGCUUUGACAUCGGGCUGUAUUUAAGAGUCUUUGUAAGUGAAUAAAAGCAACUUUACUCCCUCCGUGUCUGUAUUUCCAAGGCUGCCCUCAACACCUAAAUGAAGUCAAAUGUCUCAAUCAUUUUGAUUAGAAUAUUUGGAUGAAGCUAGAGAGGAUCUCAACAACAUCCAGUUUAGUAGGCCUAAAGAAGUUAAUUGGCUUACAUCCACUUAGUAAGAGGCACACACACCAGCUUCCAAGCUAGUGGACGUCCUUUGGCCCCAAGAGUCCUCUAACAGUGCUGUCUG
rnacentral:lncRNA from 10 species